CUGCUUCUGAUGUCAUUCAUUCUCUCUCUCUCUCUCUCUCUCUCUCUCUCUCUCUCACACACACACACACACACAGAGAGAGAGAGAGAGAGAGAGAGAUAAGGAUAAUGUUAAUACAUUU